UCUACGGGAGGCAGCAGUGGGGAAUAUUGGGCAAUGGGCGCAAGCCUGACCCAGCAACGCCGCGUGAAGGAAGAAGGCUUUCGGGUUGUAAACUUCUUUUCUCGGGGACGAAGCAAGUGACGGUACCUGAGGAAUAAGCCACGGCUAACUACGUGACAGCAACCGCGGUAAUACGUGGGUGGCAAGCGUUAUCCGGAUUUCCUGGGUGUAAAGGGCGUGUAGGCGGGACUGCAAGUCAGAUGUGAAAACCAUGGGCUUAACCUGUGGCCUGCAUUUGAAAAUGUAGUGCUUGAGUACUGGAGAGGGAGAUGGAAGUACUGGUGUAGCGGUGAAAUGCGUAGAUAUUAGGAGGAACACCAGUGGCGAAGGCGGUCUGCUGGACCGAAACUGACGCUGAGGCGCGAAAGCGUGGGGAGCAAACAGGAUUAGAUACCCGAGUAGUC
rnacentral:rRNA from 1 species